rnacentral:rRNA from 1 species
UGGGGAAUAUUGCACAAUGGGCGCAAGCCUGAUGCAGCCAUACCGCGUGUAUGAAGAAGGCCUUCGGGUUGUAAAGUACUUUCAGCGGGGAGGAAGGCGAUAAGGUUAAUAACCUUGUCGAUUGACGUUACCCGCAGAAGAAGCACCGGCUAACUCCGUGCCAGCAGCCGCGGUAAUACGGAGGGUGCAAGCGUUAAUCGGAAUUACUGGGCGUAAAGCGCACGCAGGCGGUCUGUCAAGUCGGAUGUGAAAUCCCCGGGCUCAACCUGGGAACUGCAUUCGAAACUGGCAGGCUAGAGUCUUGUAGAGGGGGGUAGAAUUCCAGGUGUAGCGGUGAAAUGCGUAGAGAUCUGGAGGAAUACCGGUGGCGAAGGCGGCCCCCUGGACAAAGACUGACGCUCAGGUGCGAAAGCGUGGGGAGCAAACA